CUUCUAGCGCCUGGCCCGCUAGUCCAGGGUUUAGAGGCUAUCGCUAAGGUACAGGAACGCUAAGGUCGGGUUUAGAGGCUAACGCUGUAAGGUACAGGAACACUAAGGUAGGGUUUAGAGGCUAACGCUGUAAGGUACAGGAACGCUAAGGUACAGGAACACUAAGGUAGGGUUUAGAGGCUAACGCUGUAAGGUACGGGAACGCUAAGGUACAGGAACGCUAAGGUAGGGUUUAGAGGCUAACGCUGUAAGGUACAGGAACGCUAAGGUACAGGAACACUGAGGUACAGGAACACUAAGGUACAGGAA